UUAAUUUCCACCGUGCGUCCCAGCCUUGUGAUUGUUGGAUCUGCCACAUCAAUUAAUGAAGUCAAAUCCAACGCUCAGUGUUUUUUCUGAUUUUAUUUCUUUUUUUUUUAAUUUUAAAUUUCAUUUUCUUUUAAAAUUCAUAAAAAAAUCAUUUUGCUUCCAAAAAAUCCCAAAAUAAUUUCUGAAAUUCUCUUUUAUCUUUCUCCAUCUGAUUUUUAUUUUUC
rnacentral:lncRNA from 1 species